GAUGAACGCUGACAGAAUGCUUAACACAUGCAAGUCCACGUGGCGUUCUUGUGAGUAACCCGUAAACUUCUUGCCUCACAGUUAGGGACUACAUUUUGAAACUAAUUCUCUUACCUGAUACUGUGAGAGAGCUUUGCGUCCCAUUAGCUAGUUGGAGAGGUAACGGCUCACCAAGGCGAUGAUGGGUAGCCGGCCUGAGAGGGUGAUCGGCCACAAGGGGACUGAUACACGGCCCUUACUCCUACGGGAGGCAGGAGUGGGGAAUGUUGGACAAAGUACCAAAGUCUGAUCCAGCAAUUCUGUGUGCACGAUGAAGUUUUCGGAAUGUAAAGUGCUUUCAGUUGGGAAGCGGGAACAAAAGAAGAAGUGACGGCUAAAUACGUGCCAGCAGCCGCGGUAAUAG
rnacentral:rRNA from 1 species